GGUGCUCCAUCCACACUACCGACAAAUGCCACACCAAGGGGAUGGAACACAGCACAGAGACCAUUCCCACUGUAACAGAUCCCCCUGUUUUUCGUUUAAUCUAUUUUUCGUUUAAUAUAUGUUGUAACGGCCUCCUACCAUGUUGCCUGGGAACCUUUACCUUUUGUUUUCCUGCCAUCAUCCACAUUGCCCUGCACCUAG